GUAGGGAAUAUUGGGCAAUGGUCGGAAGACUGACCCAGCCAUGCCGCGUGCAGGAAGACGGCCCUCUGGGUUGUAAACUGCUUUUAUCUGGGAAGAAAAAGGCCAUGCGUGGCAAAUUGCCGGUACCAGAUGAAUAAGCACCGGCUAACUCCGUGCCAGCAGCCGCGGUAAUACGGAGGGUGCGAGCGUUGUCCGGAUUUAUUGGGUUUAAAGGGUGCGUAGGCGGCUGAUUAAGUCAGCGGUGAAAGACUUCGGCUUAACCGGAGCAGUGCAGUUGAUACUGGUUGGCUUGAGUGUCGGAGGGGUACAUGGAAUUGAUGGUGUAGCGGUGAAAUGCAUAGAUACCAUCAGGAACACCGAUAGCGAAGGCAUUGUACUGGCCGACAACUGACGCUGAUGCACGAAAGUGUGGGGAUCGAACAGGAUUAGAAACCCCUGUAGUCC
rnacentral:rRNA from 1 species